ACGGGGCGCACAGGCGCGAAAACUUUACAAUGCUGGCAACAGCGAUAAGGGAACCUCGAGUGCCAGGUUACAAAUCUGGCUGUCGAGAUGCCUAAAAAGCAUUUCAUAGCAAGGGCCGGGCAAGACCGGUGCCAGCCGCCGCGGUAACACCGGCGGCUCGAGUGGUAACCGUUAUUAUUGGGUCUAAAGGGUCUGUAGCCGGCCGGAUAAGUCUCUUGAGAAAUCUGGCAGCUUAACUGUCAGGCUUUCAGGAGAUACUGUCUGGCUCGAGGCCGGGAGAGGUGAGAGGUACUUCAGGGGUAGGGGUGAAAUCUUGUAAUCCUUGAAGGACCACCAGUGGCGAAGGCGUCUCACCAGAACGGACCUGACGGCAAGGGACGAAAGCUAGGGGCACGAACCGGAUUAGAUACCCGGGUAGUCCUAGCCGUAAACGAUACUCGCUAGGUGUCGGCCACGGUGCGACCGUUGUCGGUGCCGUAGGGAAGCCGUGAAGCGAGCCACCUGGGAAGUACGGCCGCAAGGCUGAAACUUAAAGGAAUUGGCGGGGGAGCACCACAACGGGUGGAGCUUGCGGUUUAAUUGGAUUCAACGCCGGAAAUCUUACCGGGACCGACAGCAAUAUGAAGGCCAGGCUGAAGACUUUGCCGGAUUAGCUGAGAGGUGGUGCAUGGCCGUCGUCAGUUCGUACUGUGAAGCAUCCUGUUAAGUCAGGCAACGAGCGAGACCCACGCCCACAGUUGCCAGCGUACUCUCCGGAGUGACGGGUACACUGUGGGGACCGCCGCUGCUAAAGCGGAGGAAGGAAUGGGCAACGGUAGGUCAGUAUGCCCCGAAUAUCCCGGGCUACACGCGAGCUACAAUGGUUGGUACAAUGGGUAUCUACCCCGAAAGGGGACGGAAAUCUCCUAAAACCAAUCUUAGUUCGGAUUGAGGGCUGCAACUCGCCCUCAUGAAGCUGGAAUCCGUAGUAAUCGCGUUUCAACAGAACGCGGUGAAUACGUCCCUGCUCCUUGUACACACCGCCCGUCA
rnacentral:rRNA from 1 species